UCUUCUAGAAUAAGUAUCAUCCCUUAGCAUCUUUCAACAUGGGCUUGCAUAAAAUAUUCUUUAUUUCUUCUUCUUUUUCCUUUUCUUCUGCUCUUGUUAUUCUUCCUCCUCUCCAGUUGCAAUCUCUCCAUUUUCCCAAAGUUGGGCUUGAUUAUCUUACACGUGUCUUCUUAUUAAUUUAAGGGAUAAGACUUGCUUAGUUAACUUAAACCUUUAAUCAAGGUUAAUAAUUCUCUCUCCUCCCCUUUCUCUAUCCUCGGUUGCGAGAUAAAGAGAGAAACAAGAUGCAAAGAUCUUGUGUAGAAUGGAACAAGUAUAGCUAAACAAGAUAUAUAUUGCAUGCUUGUCUUUACUGUUGUUUACCAAAUUAUUUUGAUAUAUCUUUAUACAAUGGAAAACAAGAUUCUUAAGGGGUUUUACACAGUCCAGGCAUUGUGGGGAGCCAAAUUAGAUUAAAUUGAAGAAUUCUCAAAUGCGCUAAAAACUUUGGAUCCAAAAUUGUACAUAUAUGUCAAUUUGAUGAAUUCAAUCAAUUAUCAGUUGGAUCAAAAGGUACGAAAGAGUCGAAGACGAAGAGAAGGAAGAGCUGGAAACGAGA